rnacentral:rRNA from 1 species
ACCGAAUAGAUACCCGGGUAGUCCACGCCGUAAACGAUGGAUGCUAGCUGUUAGGAGUAUCGACCCUUCUAGUAGCGAAAGCUAAACGCGUUAAGCGUCCCGCCUGGGGAGUACGGUCGCAAGAUUAAAACUCAAAGGAAUUGACGGGGACCCGCACAAGCGGUGGAGCGUGUUCUUUAAUUCGAUGAUAAGCGAAGAACCUUACCAGGACUUGACAUCCAGGGAAGCACUACGAAAGUAGAGUGUGCCUUUUGGAACCCUGUGACAGGUGCUGCAUGGCCGUCGUCAGCUCGUGUCGUGAGAUGUUUGGUUAAGUCCAUUAACGAGCGCAACCCUUAUGAAUAGUUGAAUUUUUCUAUUCAGACUGCCCC